rnacentral:rRNA from 1 species
CCUACGGGAGGCAGCAGUGGGGAAUAUUGGGCAAUGGGCGCAAGCCUGACCCAGCAACACCGCGUGAAGGAAGAAGGCUUUCGGGUUGUAAACUUCUUUUCUGAGGGACGAAGAAAGUGACGGUACCUCAGGAAUAACCCACGGCUAACUACGUCCCAGCAGCCGCGGUAAUACGUAGGUGGCAAGCGUUAUCCGGAUUUAUUGGGUGUAAAGGGCGUGUAGGCGGGUAAGCAAGUCAGAUGUGAAAACUAAGGGCUCAACCCUGAGACUGCAUUUGAAGCUGUUGUUCUUGAGUGCUGGAGAGGCAAUCGGAAUUCCGUGUGUAGCGGUGAAAUGCGUAGAUAUAAGGAGGAACACCAGUGGCGAAGGCGGAUUGCUGGACAGUAACUGACGCUGAGGCGCGAAAGCGUGGGGAGCAAACAGGAUUAGAUACCCGUGUAGUC